UAGGUAGGUGGUCUCGUUUGUCUGGGGUGAAAGCCCAGGGCUUAACCCUGGAAGUGCCCCGGAAACGGCGAGACUGGAGUCUUGGAGAGGGUCGUGGAAUUCCCGGUGUAGCGGUGAAAUGCGUAGAGAUCGGGAGGAACACCAGCGGCGAAGGCGGCGACCUGGACAACAACUGACGGUGAGGCGCGAAAGCGUAGGGAGCAAACA
rnacentral:rRNA from 1 species